rnacentral:rRNA from 1 species
UGCCAGCAGCGCGGUAAUACGGAGGGGGUUAGCGUUGUUCGGAAUUACUGGGCGUAAAGCGCACGUAGGCGGAUCAGAAAGUAGGGGGUGAAAUCCCGAGGCUCAACCUCGGAACUGCCUCCUAAACUCCUGGUCUUGAGUUCGAGAGAGGUGAGUGGAAUUCCAAGUGUAGAGGUGAAAUUCGUAGAUAUUCGGAGGAACACCAGUGGCGAAGGCGACUUUCUGGCUCGUAACUGACGCUGAGGCACGAAAGCGUGGGGAGCAAACAGGAUUAGAUA